rnacentral:rRNA from 1 species
AGGACGAACGCUGGCGGCGUGCUUAACACAUGCAAGUCGAGCGGAAAGGCCCUUCGGGGUACUCGAGCGGCAAACGGGUGAGUAACACGUGAGUAACCUGCCCUUGGCUCUGGGAUAGCUCCGGGAAACCGGAAUUAAUACCGGAUAUGACUUCGGCCGACAUCGGCUGCGGUGGAAAGAUUUAUCGGCCAGGGAUGGGCUCGCGGCCUAUCAGCUAGUUGGUGGGGUAACGGCCUACCAAGGCGACGACGGGUAGCCGGCCUGAGAGGGCGACCGGCCACACUGGGACUGAGACACGGCCCAGACUCCUACGGGAGGCAGCAGUGGGGAAUAUUGCGCAAUGGGCGAAAGCCUGACGCAGCGACGCCGCGUGGGGGAUGAAGGCCUUCGGGUUGUAAACCCUUUCGGCAGGGACGAAGCGAAAGUGACGGUACCUGCAGAAGAAGCGCCGGCUAACUACGCGCCAGCAGCCGC